UACGGAGGGAGCUAGCGUUGUUCGGAAUUACUGGGCGUAAAGCGCACGUAGGCGGCUUUGUAAGUUAGAGGUGAAAGCCCGGGGCUCAACUCCGGAACUGCCUUUAAGACUGCAUCGCUUGAAUCCAGGAGAGGUGAGUGGAAUUCCGAGUGUAGAGGUGAAAUCGUAGAUAUUCGGAAGAACACCAGUGGCGAAGGCGGC
rnacentral:rRNA from 1 species